rnacentral:rRNA from 1 species
AACGAACGCUGGCGGCACGCCUAACACAUGCAAGUCGAACGAGACCUUCGGGUCUAGUGGCGCACGGGUGCGUAACGCGUGGGAACCUGCCCUUAGGUUCGGAAUAACUCCCCGAAAGGGGUGCUAAUACCGGAUAAUGUCUUCGGUCCAAAGAUUUAUCGCCUUUGGAUGGGCCCGCGUUGGAUUAGCUAGUUGGUAGGGUAAAAGCCUACCAAGGCGACGAUCCAUAGCUGGUCUGAGAGGAUGAUCAGCCACACUGGGACUGAGACACGGCCCAGACUCCUACGGGAGGCAGCAGUGGGGAAUAUUGGACAAUGGGCGAAAGCCUGAUCCAGCAAUGCCGCGUGAGUGAUGAAGGCCUUAGGGUUGUAAAGCUCUUUUACCCGGGAUGAUAAUGACAGUACCGGGAGAAUAAGCUCCGGCUAACUCCGUG